rnacentral:lncRNA from 1 species
CGGCUUGGGUUUGCGCCUUGCAGGCGGCGCGCGGACCUUGGGAAACCGGCUCUGAGCAUCGCUGUGAGGCAGCCAAGGACUGGAGGCAGGUUCCAUGAUUUGGGGGCGCCUCUGCCGCAGGCCCUUUCUACCUGAGUGUUCUCUCUUCUGCAACACCCGUUUUAACCCCUUUUAAAGGAAUUGGGGGCUAGCCAGACUAGACUAGGGGCGGCGAAACGCACUGAAGAGAGUUGGAUACAGAAUUUCUUGCAAACGAGGUCGAGUUGCGUCUGGGAUACGGUGUCAUGCCCCACCCCCGCCCCACGACCCUGCCGGCCCCACCUUUCUUUUGCUUCGCCUGCAGAAACCCGCACGGCCUUCAUACGUGCAUUUGAAAUUACCUAAGGGCGUAAGCAAUAUUUCCUCUGUCACGGAUUAAAACUUUCGAUGUAACGGUGUUAUCUGAAUCUCACUAGUUUUUGUCGUAAUCCUAUUGAGUUCGGGUCACUCUGAUCUGAAAUGCUAAAUGCAGUUCUUGGAGAACACGCCCUUUGGGAAGUAACGCUUUUUUGCGGCCCUGAAGAGAUGGAUUUGGAGUUGAGGAUGAAAUGUUGGGUGUUGAGGCAUUGUGGAGCAGUGGGCAAGACUUUGGAGGGGGCCUGCAUUCGGAACCUGCGUCUAUCAGGCGCGGCCGGUGUUGGGCAGUGUCUUAACCCCGAGGGCCAUUGUUUCCUCGGCAGGAACGCGGCUUUAAAAACGGAACCAUCCUCAGGGUGGUUGCGAGAAUUUAACGUAAAACGGGGCUUGGCCUUGUAAAAGCUCAGUGUUUCACGUAAAUGUUGAACACUGACCAGACAAUGAUUGUCAGUGUAGUUUUUACCAAACAGUUAUUAGAUUUAUUCACCCUAAACUUCAGUGGAUUUCUCCGUUUGUCUAUUGUUU